GCUCCUCAUGUACCGACUGGACCUGCUGCCAUCAUCGGUCACUCUCACACACACUCACACACACACACACACACACACACACACACACACACACACACUCUCACUCUCACACACUCACACACUCACACACACACACACUAGCUAAAUGUCAACAGAGGAGUGAAUUUCCUGCGAACACGUCUGCAUCAGUCUUUCCAAACAAACGCCGUUCUUCAUCUUCAUCAUCAUCUUCAUCUGUGAAAAACCCAGAUGUGACCACAGACGAGUUUUGAUUAGAGGUGUAGGAGUCACUGCUUUUAUUCAAUAAUGAGGAAAAUGAACGAUGAGAGGAUGAAUGAACGAUGAGAGGAUGAAUGAGAGGAUGAAUGAGAGGAUGAAUGAACGAUGAGAGGAUGAAUGAACGAUGAGAGGAUGAAUGAUGAAUGAGAGGAUGAAUGAGAGGAUGAAUGAACGAUGAGAGGAUGAAUGAGAGGAUGAAUGAUGAAUGAGAGGAUGAAUGAGAGGAUGAAUGAACGAUGAGAGGAGCAGAAAAGUCUGAAGGUCUGAGGGGACCACAGAGACCUGGACUUCAUUCAGAGUUCCUCUUCAGUCUCAGUCCUCAGAUAAAGUCUGAUUAUGAGAGGUCAUGUGGAGAUCAUGUGGAGGUCAUGUCAGGGUCAUGUCGGGGUCAUGUCAGAUCAAUGUUUCUAACCCCCCCCCCUCAUGUUUAUAGUCCUCAGGUAUCUAAACUUCCUGUCUGUGAUGUGUGCUGACUCUGCAGACUCUGCUGGUUUCUCCACAGACUCGGACGUCCUGCUGAUCCCUCCUCCUGCUCCUCCUGGUCCUCCUGCUCUCACUCGGAUGUUUCUGUAAAAAGAGGAGGUCCGUUUGUUUGUUUUGGACCGGAGCAGCAGCUGUUACAGAGCGACAUCGAGCCUCGGCGCUCGGUGACCAGCUGGACGCCACGCCGCAGGAAUCCCAAACGAGCCGGAGAGACGGAGAGGAAGCAGCAGAUGUUCUCCAUGAUGAGUCUCCUCUGUCUGCCCUCAGGCUCGCUCGCUCGCUCUCGCUCUCUCUCUCUCUCUCUCUAAUUAAAGCUACAUUUCUUUAAUUUAAUCAUCUUAAAAUUUCUUUAAUUUAAAUAAAUUUAUAUCAAAUUAAUUUAAAUCAACUUUAAUUUCUUUCAUUGAUAAAAAAAUCCUGAGAUUUCAAACACGAACACAAAGACAGUUUUACAGCUGACCUCUGACCUCUGACCUCUGCAGGGAGGCGUGUGAAUGUGUCCGACCCACAAAGAGGAGGCGGAGCUUUACUGUCCACACGCACAGACCGCCAAAGUGAAUUAUGGGUAAAAAGUAACUGCAGUGAGAAGUUUUUUUGACUGAAAGAUAAAAAGUCAGUUUGACUCUGGACCAGGAGAAGCUCAGGUUCACUCACGCGGUCUCUCACAGAGACCUGAACCUCUGAGAGGCUCCGCCCCCUUUUACACACGCUCAUCCCGUCCUGGUUCUGGUCUGGACGGUCCUGCAGGGUCUCCGGAACAACCCCAGUACACACACAAACACACACACACACACACACACACUCCCCUGUCCUCGUUCGUCCCUCCUCUCUCAGCACGUGCCUCGGCAUCACGCGCUCGCGCAGCCUCUGAUCGGUUUGGAUCGAUUUUCUGCCUCUGAUCGGUU
rnacentral:lncRNA from 1 species